GACGAACGCUGGCGGCGUGCUUAACACAUGCAAGUCGAACGGACAGGCCCUGCUUUUGUGGGGUGCUCGAUUGGCGAACGGGUGAGUAACACGUGAGUAACCUGCCCUUGACUUUGGGAUAACUUCAGGAAACUGGGGCUAAUACCGGAUAGGAGCUCCUGCUGCAUGGUGGGGGUUGGAAAGUUUCGGCGGUUGGGGAUGGACUCGCGGCUUAUCAGCUUGUUGGUGGGGUAGUGGCUUACCAAGGCUUUGACGGGUAGCCGGCCUGAGAGGGUGACCGGCCACAAUGGGACUACGAUACGGAGCAGACGCCUACGGGAGGCAGCAGGGGGGAAUAUGGCACAAUGGGCGGAAGCCUGAGGCAGCAACGCCGCGUGCGGGAUGACGGGCUUCGGGUUGUAAACCGCUUUCGCCUGUGACGAAGCGUGAGUGACGGUAAUGGGUAAAGAAGCACCGGCUAACUACGUG
rnacentral:rRNA from 1 species